rnacentral:lncRNA from 1 species
AGAGUCUCUCACUUGGUGACCAGAGACAACUCCUGAACAUGGUGUUGAAGAUGUUGUUAGGAAAAGGACGCACACCGUAGCAGGAAAAAGAAAAUUUGCAUAUACCUGCCAUAGCAGGUUAUUAAUAAGCGAGCACCAUUCUGGGGCACCACUCACGUCACCGUCUAGGACGGACAGAGCGGGAGGAGACGGCUGAAGAGGCAGAAGAAGGGGUCUCCCCGAUGCUGAUGGGACCGGAAUGGGACUCGGGGGGAUGGAUAGUGAUUCCUUCCUCGUGUGGUUUUGAGGCCAUGAGAUUCCCUCAGCGGCCUGGCCUGAAGAGUCGGGAGAGGGCAGCCUGGUUAACUGCAGAUACGAGGUGGCAUCCUAACCCAAGAUUCAGGUUCGGAUGAUCAGUCUUUAGCUGGAUAGAACCCGUGGAAGUGACACAUGCCAACAGACGGAGGAAACUCGAUUCUUUUAAUAACUCUCAUGUUUGCAUCGCAUGUUAGAAGUAUGAAAUAUUUUCAUCGCUAUAGUUGAGUCUCACAAAAAAUCGAUGGAAAAGGCAGAGCAGGUAUUACCUCACCUUAGAGGGGAAAAAACUGAGCCUCAGAAAGGUGAAGCUCCUUCCUCUUAUAGCCACACACACGACAAAUGGCAGAGCCAAGGUCCAAAUCCAGGUCUGUCUAAAGUCUCAUGAGGAGUUCUCUCUACCGUAGAGAAGUGUUUUUAUUUUGUGUUCGUUUCUGUUCUUAAUUGAAAGGAAGGGAGUAGGUCAUAUCAUGGAGUUCUGGGGGAUCUAAAGUACCCGAGCCUGGGAGAUUCAUCCCUCAGUCACUUUGUAGAUGUCAGCUGAGGGCCAAUCAAGAAGGGCCUUGAAUGCCAAGCUGAGGAGCUGGGACUUUAUCCCAAGGGCACUAGGGGGCCAUGGAGGGUUUGGGCAGAGGAGAAACAGGGUC